rnacentral:rRNA from 1 species
UACAGAGGGGGCAAGCGUUAUUCGGAAUUAUUGGGCGUAAAGGGCGCGUAGGCGGCCUGGCAAGUGGAAGGUGAAAUCCCUCGGCUCAACCGAGGAACUGCGUCCGAUACUGGCAGGCUGGAAUCCGGGAGAGGGAUGUGGAAUUCCAGGUGUAGCGGUGAAAUGCGUAGAUAUCUGGAGGAACACCGGUGGCGAAGGCGGCAUCCUGGACCGGUAUUGACGCUGAGGCGCGAAAGCUAGGGGAGCAAACGGGG